CCUACGGGUGGCAGCAGUGGGGAAUAUUGGGCAAUGGAGGAAACUCUGACCCAGCAACGCCGCGUGAAUGAUGAAGGUCUUCGGAUUGUAAAGUUCUUUUCUAAGGGAAGAAGAAAGUUACGGUACAUUAGGAAUAAGCCUCGGCUAACUACGUGCCAGCAGCCGCGGUAAUCCGUAGGUGGCAAGCGUUGUCCUGAUUUACUGGGUGUAAAGGGCGGGUAGCCGGGCUGACAAGUCAGAUGUGAAAUCCGGGGGCUCAACCCCCGAACUGCAUUUGAAACUGUGGGUCUUGAGUAUCGGAGAGGCAGGCGGAAUUCCUAGUGUAGCGGUGAAAUGCGUAGAUAUUAGGAGGAACACCAGUGGCGAAGGCGGCCUGCUGGACGACAACUGACGGUGAGGCGCGAAAGCGUGGGGAGCAAACAGGAUUAGAUACCCGGGUAGUC
rnacentral:rRNA from 1 species